rnacentral:rRNA from 1 species
AAAGCGGGAGCAAUCUCGCAAGUAAAGUGGCGUACGGGUGAGUAACACGUGGAUCAUCUGCCCUGGAGUGGGGAAUAACGCUGGGAAACCGGCGCUAAUACCGCAUAUACCCGAGAGGGGAAAGCAGCAAUGCGCUCGAGGAGGAGUCCGCGGCCGAUUAGCUAGUUGGCAGGGUAAAAGCCUACCAAGGCUGUGAUCGGUAGCCGGCCUGAGAGGGCACACGGCCACACUGGCACUGAAACACGGGCCAGACUCCUACGGGAGGCAGCAGUGGGGAAUCUUGCACAAUGGGGGAAACCCUGAUGCAGCGACGCCGCGUGAGCGAUGAAGCCCUUCGGGGUGUAAAGCUCUUUCGGCAGGGAAGAUAAUGACGGUACCUGCAGAAGCAGCUGCGGCUAACUACGUGCCAGCAGCCGCGGUAAUACGUAGGCAGCAAGCGUUGUUCGGAGUUACUGGGCGUAAAGGGUGUGUAGGUGGCGCGCUAAGUUCCGUGUGAAAUCUCCCGGCUCAACCGGGAGGGUGCGCGGAAAACUGGCGGGCUAGAGUACGGGAUGGGAGAGUAGAAUUCCUGGUGUAGCGGUGAAGUGCGUAGAUAUCAGGAGGAAUACCGGUGGUUGUAGACGGCUCUCUGGACCGUAACUGACACUGAAACACGAAAGCGUGGGUAGCAAACAGGAUUAGAUACCCUGGUAGUCCACGCCCUAAACGUUGCAUAUUUGGUGUAGGUCAUUCAGUUGAUCUGUGCCGGAGCUAACGCGUUAAAUAUGCCGCCUGGGGAGUACAGUCGCAAGGCUGAAACUC